rnacentral:rRNA from 1 species
GAUGAACGCUGGCGGCGUGCCUAAUACAUGCAAGUCGAGCGAACAGACGAGGAGCUUGCUCCUCUGACGUUAGCGGCGGACGGGUGAGUAACACGUGGAUAACCUACCUAUAAGACUGGGAUAACUUCGGGAAACCGGAGCUAAUACCGGAUAAUAUAUUGAACCGCAUGGUUCAAUAGUGAAAGACGGUUUUGCUGUAACUUAUAGAUGGAUCCGCGCCGCAUUAGCUGGUUGGUAAGUUAACGGCUUUCCAAGGCAACGAUGCGUAGACGACCUGAGAGGGGGAUAGGCGGCACUGGAACUGGGACACGGUCCAGACUACUACGGGAGGGAGCAGUAGGGAAUCUGCCGCAAUGGGCGAGAGCAUGACGGAGUAACGCCGCGUGAGUGAUGAAGGUCUUCGGAUCGGAAAGCUCUGUUAUGAGGGAAGAACAAAUGUGUAAGUAACUAUGCACGUAUUGACGGUACCUAGUCAGAAAGCAACGGCUAACUACGUG